UUAUGAAGUGUAAUUCUUUGUGUUUUGGAUUCUUUGCAGGUUUGGCAGUUAGUUCGUAUUACUAUCGACCGAGGCUUUUUAGCAGGAAUUACUUGGAAUUACUUGGGUCUGGAAAGCUUCCUAGAAGUGAUGGUGUAGUGUUGGAGAUUAAAAUCAUGUAGUACUGCAUUUUCAAUGAUGUUAUGUUACUUGAUUUUUAUUAAAUGUUUAUGCUUAUAGCACCUUGUAAAUAUGCUUUUGAUGUUUUGAUACUAAUUUUGCUUCUUGAAAUCAGACCAGAUUGUUGCAAAUUUGUAUUGUCUUGUUAAAUGAAUAUAAUUACA
rnacentral:lncRNA from 1 species